UACGGAGGGGGCUAGCGUUGUUCGGAAUUACUGGGCGUAAAGCGCACGUAGGCGGCUUUGUAAGUUAGAGGUGAAAGCCCGGAGCUCAACUCCGGAAUAGCCUUUAAGACUGCAUCGCUAGAACGUUGGAGAGGUGAGUGGAAUUCCGAGUGUAGAGGUGAAAUUCGUAGAUAUUCGGAAGAACACCAGUGGCGAAGGCGACUCACUGGACAUGUAUUGACGCUGAGGUGCGAAAGCGUGGGGAGCAAACAGG
rnacentral:rRNA from 1 species